AGGAUAAACGCUGGCGGCGUGCCUAACACAUGCAAGUCGAACGUCUCUUCUUUCGGGAAGAGGAGUGGCGGACGGGUGAGGAACACGUGGGAACCUGCCCUUUAGUGAGGAAUACCGGCGAGAAAUCGCCGACAAGACCGCAUAGCCCUCUUUGAUGAGAGUCAAAGAAGGAAAGCUUCGCAAGAGGCGCUAGAGGAGGGGCCUGCGUCCGAUUAGCUAGUUGGUGGGGUAAGAGCCUACCAAGGCGUCGAUCGGUAGCUGGUCUGAGAGGACGAUCAGCCACACUGGGAUUGAGAACGGCCCAGACUCCUACGGGGGCAGCAGUGAGGAAUUUUCGGCAAUGGGGGAAACCCUGACCGAGCAACGCCGCGUGCAGGAAGACGGCCUUCGGUUGUAAACUGCUUUCUUUGGGACGAGGAAGGACGGUACCAGAGGAAUCAGCCCCGGCUCACUACGUGCCAGCAGCCGC
rnacentral:rRNA from 1 species